ACGGGAGGCAGCAGUGGGGGAUAUUGCACAAUGGGGGAAACCCUGAUGCAGCAACGCCGCGUGAGUGAUGACGGUCUUCGGAUUGUAAAGCUCUGUCUUUGGGGACGAUAAUGACGGUACCCAAGGAGGAAGCCACGGCUAACUACGUGCCAGCAGCCGCGGUAAUACGUAGGUGGCGAGCGUUGUCCGGAUUUACUGGGUGUAAAGGGCGCGUAGGCGGGGAUGCAAGUCAGAUGUGAAAUCUAUGGGCUUAACUCAUAAACUGCAUUUGAAACUGUAUCUCUUGAGUGCUGGAGAGGUAGAUGGAAUUCCUUGUGUAGCGGUGAAAUGCGUAGAUAUAAGGAAGAACACCAGUGGCGAAGGCGAUCUACUGGACAGUAACUGACGCUGAGGCGCGAAAGCGUGGGGAGCAAACAGGAUUAGAUACCCUGGUA
rnacentral:rRNA from 1 species